GAAAGGCCAAUCAAACUUCGUGAUAGCUGGUUCUCUCCGAAAUAUAUUUAGGUAUAGCGUUGUGUCGUAAUAUAAGGGGGUAGAGCACUGAAUGGGCUAGGGCAUACACCAAUGUACCAAACCCUAUCAAACUCCGAAUACCUUAUAUGUAAUCACAGCAGUCAGGCGGCGAGUGAUAAAAUCCGUCGUCAAGAGGGAAACAACCCAGACUACCAGCUAAGGUCCCUAAAUCUUACUUAAGUGGAAAACGAUGUGAAGUUACUUAAACAACCAGGAGGUUGGCUUAGAAGCAGCCAUCCUUUAAAGAAAGCGUAAUAGCUCACUGGUCUAGUGAUUUUGCGCGGAAAAUAUAACGGGGCUAAAGUAAGUACCGAAGCUGUAGACUUGCACACAACUUAGAUUAUUUAAGUUUAGAAUAAGUAGUUUAAGUUGUGUGCAAGUGGUAGGAGAGCGUUCUAUUUGCGUCGAAGGUAUACCGGUAAGGAGUGCUGGAGCGAAUAGAAGUGAGCAUGCAGGCAUGAGUAGCGAUAAUUAAUGUGAGAAUCAUUAACGCCGUAAACCCAAGGUUUCCUACGCGAUGCUCGUCAUCGUAGGGUUAGUCGGGUCCUAAGUCGAGUCCGAAAGGGGUAGACGAUGGCAAAUUGGUUAAUAUUCCAAUACCAACAUUAGUGUGCGAUGGAAGGACGCUUAGGGCUAAGGGGGCUAGCGGAUGGAAGUGCUAGUCUAAGGUCGUAGGAGGUUAUACAGGCAAAUCCGUAUAACAAUACUCCGAGAACUGAAAGGCUUUUUGAAGUCUUCGGAUGGAUAGAAGAACCCCUGAUGCCGUCGAGCCAAGAAAAGUUUCUAAGUUUAGCUAAUGUUGCCCGUACCGUAAACCGACACAGGUGGGUGGGAUGAGUAUUCUAAGGCGCGUGGAAGAACUCUCUUUAAGGAACUCUGCAAAAUAGCACCGUAUCUUCGGUAUAAGGUGUGGUUAGCUUCGUACUAGGAUUUACUCCGAAAGCGAAGAAACUUACAACAAAGAGUCCCUCCCGACUGUUUACCAAAAACACAGCACUCUGCUAACUCGUAAGAGGAUGUAUAGGGUGUGACGCCUGCCCGGUGCUCGAAGGUUAAUUGAUGGGGUUAGCAUUAGCGAAGCUCUUGAUCGAAGCCCGAGUAAACGGCGGCCGUAACUAUAACGGUCCUAAGGUAGCGAAAUUCCUUGUCGGUUAAAUACCGACCUGCAUGAAUGGCGUAACGAGAUGGGAGCUGUCUCAAAGAGGGAUCCAGUGAAAUUGUAGUGGAGGUGAAAAUUCCUCCUACCCGCGGCAAGACGGAAAGACCCCGUGGACCUUUACUACAGCUUGACACUGCUACUUGGAUAAGAAUGUGCAGGAUAGGUGGGAGGCUUUGAGUAUAUGACGCCAGUUGUAUAUGAGCCAUUGUUGAGAUACCACUCUUUCUUAUUUGGGUAGCUAACCAGCUUGAGUUAUCCUCAAGUGGGACAAUGUCUGGUGGGUAGUUUGACUGGGGCGGUCGCCUCCCAAAUAAUAACGGAGGCUUACAAAGGUUGGCUCAGAACGGUUGGAAAUCGUUCGUAGAGUAUAAAGGUAUAAGCCAGCUUAACUGCAAGACAUACAAGUCAAGCAGAGACGAAAGUCGGUCUUAGUGAUCCGGUGGUUCUGUGUGGAAGGGCCAUCGCUCAAAGGAUAAAAGGUACCCCGGGGAUAACAGGCUGAUCUCCCCCAAGAGCUCACAUCGACGGGGAGGUUUGGCACCUCGAUGUCGGCUCAUCGCAUCCUGGGGCUGGAGCAGGUCCCAAGGGUAUGGCUGUUCGCCAUUUAAAGCGGUACGCGAGCUGGGUUCAGAACGUCGUGAGACAGUUCGGUCCCUAUCUGCCGUGGGCGUAAGAAGAUUGAAGAGAUUUGACCCUAGUACGAGAGGACCGGGUUGAACAAACCACUGGUGUAGCUGUUGUUCUGCCAAGAGCAUCGCAGCGUAGCUAAGUUUGGAAAGGAUAAACGCUGAAAGCAUCUAAGCGUGAAGCCAACUCUAAGAUGAAUCUUCUCUAAGCUCUCUAGAAGACUACUAGUUUGAUAGGCUGGGUGUGUAAUGGAUGAAAGUCCUUUAGCUGACCAGUACUAAUAGAGCGUUUGGCUUAUCUUU
rnacentral:rRNA from 1 species